rnacentral:rRNA from 2 species
UCGAGAAUUUUUCACAAUGGGGGAAACCCUGAUGGAGCGACGCCGCGUGGGGGAUGAAUGGCUUCGGCCCGUAAACCCCUGUCAUUCGCGAACAAUGCCUGCGGGAUAACACCUCGCAGGUUGAUAGUAGCGGAAGAGGAAGGGACGGCUAACUCUGUGCCAGCAGCCGCGGUAAUACAGAGGUCCCAAGCGUUGUUCGGAUUUACUGGGCGUAAAGGGUGCGUAGGCGGUCGGGUAAGUCUGAUGUGAAAUCUCCGAGCUUAACUCGGAAAUGGCAUUGGAUACUAUUCGGCUUGAGGUCUGGAGGGGGGACUGGAAUUCUCGGUGUAGCAGUGAAAUGCAUAGAUAUCGAGAGGAACACCAGUGGCGAAGGCGAGUCCAUGGACAGGUCCUGACGCUGAGGCACGAAAGCUAGGGGAGCAAACAGG